GACGAACGCUGGCGGCGUGCUUAACACAUGCAAGUCGAACGGAAAGGCCCUGCUUUUGUGGGGUGCUCGAGUGGCGAACGGGUGAGUAACACGUGAGUAACCUGCCCUUGACUUUGGGAUAACUUCAGGAAACUGGGGCUAAUACCGGAUAGGAGCUCCUGCUGCAUGGUGGGGGUUGGAAAGUUUCGGCGGUUGGGGAUGGACUCGCGGCUUAUCAGCUUGUUGGUGGGGUAGUGGCUUACCAAGGCUUUGACGGGUAGCCGGCCUGAGAGGGUGACCGGCCACAUUGGGACUAAGAUACGGCCCAGACUCCUACGGGAGGCAGCAGGGGGGAAUAUUGCACAAUGGGCGGAAGCCUGAUGCAGCAACGCCGCGUGCGGGAUGACGGCCUUCGGGUUGUAAACCGCUUUCGCCUGUGACGAAGCGUGAGUGACGGUAAUGGGUAAAGAAGCACCGGCUAACUACGUG
rnacentral:rRNA from 1 species